CCAGGAGCGAAAGCGGAACGUGUUCAGUGAGUUCAGUCUCCGUUUAAAGAGAACAGAGAAGGAGGAAAAGUUAAAUAAACACCGAGAAAAAGAAGAAACGUUGAGGAGAAGAUGAACAAUUUUUGUGUGGAGGAAGAGGACGGAGCAGAGUCUCCAGGAUCCAGAUGUGUGACUAUGAAGAAUGACUGGUCCAGAUGUGAGUCUCCAUCAUUCAGUCCUGAACCUGGAGCCUCAGACACAAAAGUCCAGAACCAGAGACAAAGAGCAGAACCUCCAGGACCCAGCUGUCUGUCUAUGAAGAGUGACUGGUCCAUACCUGAGCCUCUAACCUUCAGUAAUGAACCUGGAGCCUCAGACACAAAGUAAGAGACAGUUUCUACUGUUAACUGACCUAAUGGAGGAUUAAGGCAAAAAGAUGUGUAAACCACAUCUUUAAAUCUCCCUGCCAUUACACUAUAAAACCAUACAUUCUGUGAUGGAGGAAAGAAGUGAUAUUUGACAUUUUCAUUGUAUUCCACCAGAUCCAGCCUCUUUCCUAUUGAAGGCUUGUGUGUGUGUGUGUGUGUGUGUGUGUGUGUGUGUGUGUGUGUGUGUGUGUGUGUGUGUGUGUGUGUGUGUGUGUGUGUGUGUGUGUGUGUGUGUGUGUGUGUGUGUGUGUGUGCGUGCGAGAGAGCGAGAGAGCGAGAGAGAGAGAGAGAGAGAGAGAGAGAUUUGAUUUUUCACAAGACUGUAUUAGUCAGAGUGUCAAACUCAUGACAAGAAUAGUUUAAAAACUUACAAUGACAGCACAGGGUUAAAAUGAAAAACAGAUGAUAAUUUUCAAAAAAAGCUCAAAAUAAGACACAGAAACAAAACACACAAAAAAACAUAGCAGCAUGGUGACAAACUUGUUAAAAAACGCCAUCAUCCAGAUCUCGGCUUAUUUUGUGCAGUAUUUUCUUUAACCUGACAACUUCCUGGUUUGUGUAACCUCCUUUUACUUCCCAUUUGGUCAUAGACCGAGUUCACAAAACAUUCGUCAUCCGAAAAAUAAUCGUCAAUCUUCACACCCCUCUUAUUUUUCGUGUGCUGUAAAAACAGUUUAACCCGAUCAACUGAGUAGGUCUUGGGCUCCGGUGACUGAGACCUACAGUCAGACAUUUCACUGUCAGAGCUGAGAGAAAACUCAUCCUCACUGAGAUCUGAGUCUGCAGGUCAUCUGUCUGGUUUUUGGCCCUUUACCUUUUUCCCAGUUCCUGACUGAUCAUCUGUGUCAUCAACAGUAGUGUCGCUUUUUCUCUUUGUAUGUUCUUUCCUACCAUCACCCAUCCCUGCAUUCUCUUCAGCUACAGCACUGUUUACAUUUGGGUCCUGAUUACACAUUUCU
rnacentral:lncRNA from 1 species